GCACAUGGGAGAAAUAUACAGCCGCAUCUCUAUUUGUGUAAAAUGGUAGCUGCCAAGGAAAGAGAACAGUGGUGUGUCUGUCACUAAAACCGUGAAUAAAUAGGGGAAAAACACACCAAACAAGACCAAACCAAAGCCAACGCACGGAGAAAGAGUACAAGAGGGAGGAGAAAAAAAGAACCCCAAAGCAAAGUCAAUACGAACGACCCGGCUAUCCCUCUCUCUCUCUCUCUCUCUCUUCUCUCUCUGUCUGUCUCUGUGUGGACAUACAGCUACGGAAUCGAGACGGGUUUUUCAUCUUUAGCGUCGGUUUUUUCCUCCCCACCCUCACCCCUUCUCUCACUUCUCAUCGCGUGGGCAGUGGAGAGAGUCGUCGCGCUUGGUGACCCAUCUUCGUAAUUCGGUUCUUUCUGGGUCGGCGGCGGGCGCGGAGCUUGUUUCUGCUCGUUUCGGUUCGGUGGAACCAGUAAAGGUAAGACCUUGGGCACGAUCUGUUGAGGGGUCGAUUCGUUGGGGUGGGUUUGUUGUGGUGGAUAGUUUGUUGUGAUGAUGAUCGAGAAUUUGAUGGGUUUGUUGUUGAUUGUGGUGGGGAUUUGGGAGUUUUUCUCGAGAUGGGUUUUUUGGGUUCUUGUUGACUCUGGGUGUGUGUUGAUUGGUAUGUUGCAGAGGUAGAUGGUAGGUGGCAGAGGGCGCCAGUGAGCGGUGGAGGCUGAAUUAUAUGGGCAAUUUAUGCUGCUUCAAGUCUCUGUAUUCUCAGGUGAGUGAAAAGAGAUGCUUGUUGCUGAUCAGCGAUCGACCUCGACUUGAAUUGGUGAAUUGGGAUGAACUUGUUUGGCGCGGGUGUUGCUAUGUCUAUUGAUUGGCUCGAUCUGCGGGAUCUUCAGUACCUUUGUCUGAUGAGAAAGAAGGGAAAUGCCUUCUCGAUAUUUUAGUUACGUAAGCCUUGAUGCUUGUCCAGAUGGCCGGUGAUUGAUGAGUUUCUUUGUUCGUUUUUGUGCUGCCCGCUCUUCAGCUUGUAGGAGGGCGGUCCUCAUGUAGCUCCGGCAAGGGGAGGAGCCAUCAGAGCCCCGUCAAAUAUGGCUUUAGCUUAAUAAAAGGGAAAGCAAAUCAUCCCAUGGAAGAUUACCAUGUUGCGAAAUUUUUUCGGACCCAAGGCCGUGAACUUGGUCUUUUUGCCAUCUUUGAUGGGCAUCUAGGAGAUAGCGUUCCUGCGUACCUACAGAAGCAUCUCUUCCAUAAUAUCCUGAAUGAGGUCAGCUGUUUACUUAAUUAGAAAUAUUUUGCACUACUAACUAUGUUAUCGGUUUCUUAUACUGCUUGAGAUUGAGGGUGUCUAGAGCGACCAUUCAAAUAUUUCAUAAAAGUAGGGGUAUAGCAUUAAGCUAAAGAAAUAAUAUCCUUUUCUUUCGGAGCUUAAUUAUCUAAACAAAUGUUAACCCUCAGAAGGUGCCCAUGACUGUGGUACCGUUUAUUCAUCAGUGAACUUUUGGAAAUUAGAUUUCUCUUUGCUCUCCAUUUUCAUCUUCUUUUGUAUUCUCCCUUUUUAAGGUCCUCCUCUUGUGUAUUUCCAUUGAAAUAUGGUGGCCUGGUAUUACUUUGCCCUUCAAUCAGCCCUGGUGCCAAGAUACUAGCCAUAGAAGCUUGACUAGUUGGCCAGUCUAGUUCACUCAGGUUCUUAUUGACUGUAAGUAGCUAAAGUGUCAAAUUAGUUAUAACUUGGUUUGGGAGGCUUGCAAGCUUAAUAGGGGGUGCAUUCUUUUUUGAACCAUCAGAAGCUGAAAUAUCAUCUUAUACUGGAUUAUCAAUCAGCUUAAAUUUGUCAUGCCAACAAUUUGGCCACUGGUGGAGCCAUCUUUAAAUUCUUGUGUCUUGAGUGGCUCAGUAUAGGUUGCUGGACAAGUCCAGAUUAGCUACAAUGGAAGUACCUCUCAAUAAUAAAGAUAUGACCUUUCACAUGUUGAUUGCCAUGGUGAUAGGGGAACGAGUAGAUCUAAUAAGUUUUCUCAUGAUCCACAUACACUAGUCUUUACAGAUUCAAAUAAUGAUUAAAGUUGUAGUUCUUGCUUAGUCAAGGAUCAAACAAUCAAUUCACUACAGUGCUUGGUCACAAUUUUCAUUAGCCACAUUUAUGUUAGAAUUCUGCAACUUCAUUCUUUUGUGGGAACAGCAGUCCAUUUUGAGCUUUCUAUUGAAGCAGCCGUAAAAAAAGGCGGAAGAGAAAUGAACAAGGCAAUAAGGACUUAGUUUGGUGGUUUAUGUACCUGAAGGCAAGCUUCCUUGUUGUUUUUAAAAAAAAUAAAAAAGCUCCUGUCUGAGCUUAAUGUCAUUAGAGUUUUGAUUAUAAACUUCUUUUUCCGGUAGUCAUGGAAUGAGUUAAGUCCUGCCCUCAAUUCAAAUAUUCUUCAAGUUGAGUAUGCGUGAGAAAUUGAAGCUCCAGGGAGCUUGAGUCAAGUAUUGAGUUUUCCACUUUUUGAGUCAACUUGAGUUUGAGUUCUUAUGUCGACUUGGCUUGGCUCAGUUACCUUAAUUCCAGUGGCAUGCUACCUCCAUUUCUCUGCUUGAGUUUUUCCUUUGUCGUUAACCUCUUCUCAUGUCCGUUGCCUAUGUCAUGUGGAUGCUUCUCUUCAACCAAUUCAACAGUGUCCAACAUGGGACAUUGGAGGGAUCAUACUUACAAUAAAUCUAAGAGUAGGCAAAUGCCACACUUUGUCUGUAUACUGCAACCCGACAGACGUACUAGUCAUAUAAUGUUUUAUUACUGCAUCUCAAUUGGCAUACAGGAAACGCUACCGAGUCUUAACAAUGAGUAGCAACUGUUUAAAUUCUUGUUGCUAACAGCUUUUGUACUCCUUUCACAUUUUGAAUAUCCUGAAGAGGCUAGGUUGAUAUGUUGAAGAGCCUAUGAGGAAAAGGAUAUCGGCAAUAUCCAUUGUGCUUAGUAUUGCCUUAGUCGUUGGAAAGAUUUGUUCUUGGAAUAUGAUCUUUCAAUUUAAUGAUUCCAGGAUAACUUUUGGACUGAUCCCAGCCGAUCUAUUGCUAGAGCCUAUGAGAAAACAGAUCAAGCAAUCUUGACACACAACCCUGACCUAGGACGUGGUGGGUCCACAGCCGUCACUGCAAUCCUUGUAAAUGGGCGCGAAUUGUGGGUUGCAAAUGUUGGAGAUUCCCGGGCUGUACUUUCAAGGAAAGGGGAGGCAGUACAAAUGUCUACAGACCAUGAGCCUAACACUGAGCGAGGUAGCAUUGAGAACAGAGGUGGAUUUGUCUCGAACAUGCCAGGUCUGGCCUAAUGCUAAAGCUAGUAUACCUUUUACUUUAUGAUCUUUAACGCCUAAAAAUGAACUUUGGAGAUAUAUGGUACACAAGUUUUUACCCAACUCCUCCUGGAUGGAAUAGAGCUUACAUGAGUUGAGUGGGGUCACCUAUGAUAUCACUGAUCAUUAUAUUUCCGGCAAGAACUUAAAAUAAGUUAUGUCUGGUCAUUUUGUCAGCGUGAGGUUUGAACUUGAGGUUGAGUAAAGACAAUUAUCAUUAUUUAUCAGAGCUAAAGAAAAUUUGGCCAUCCUGGUGAACCCCAGUUUACUUCUCAAAUGAGAUUGGUCCUAAGGGCUUUGCACAGGGAAGAUUUCACAUGUUUACCGUGUCUAUGAAAUCCAAAUAUUGUGCUUAGAUCGGAGUGCUGCUUGGCUGACGUUUCAGUUCUGAGGACAUUCACGGUAGUUUACUAGUAUUGGUUUUGGCUGCGCAGAAUAUAUUAUUCUAAAUUCUUGCUAUCUAGCACAUGCUAUAGCACAUAGUACACAUGUAUUUUGUGUUAUGAAGCACUGAAUAUUUAUUUAAAAUUCUUACUUUUGAAACAUCUAAUCUAUGUUUUGUAGUAUGUCAUUUAGCUUAGUCCGAUUCAAAUAUUGUUGCAUACGAAUGCUAUAAAAAGUGAUGCUGAAAAUUGCAAAUAUAUGAGGAAAAAAAAUUCUCUAUGAGUGCACAGUGACCGGAGGCUGUAAGUGCACUGGCAUGUCUUCUAGGUGCACUUCAUAAGUUAUAACAUUCUUUCUUUGACAUGCAUAUAUACUUGAGCCAACAUGUGUCAAGGAGGAAAAGACUCUGCAUAGAGAUUAAUAGCGCAAAAGUAUCCACGUGCCCUAUCUAGUUACAUGGAAAAGGCUGCUGUAAUUGUCUUGGGUUGCACUAUCAUGACUUUAUGCCUGUCUCUCUCCAUGCGUAACUGCAAUGGACUUUGAACUUGUUGUCUUACUAGAUCCGUCUACCGUAAUAUUUUGUGGCAUUUUCAGAGGCAGAAAUGAUCAGGAACUGUUUAAAUAAUUAUUGGUAUUCAUCAUGACACUUCGCUGAAAGUUGCUGUGAGCUGAAUAGCUGACUUGCUUAUCAUUGAGAAUGGUUGCGUGUGGUAGACAAUAUUGGCUAUUUUCUUUUACCUGCAUUCUGAUCCUGCACUGCAAUUGACUUUUCCCUUUAUUUCCUUAAUGUACUAUGCGAUAACCCAUUUGCUGCUCAUAUGUUGGUGGGAUUGAUGGUUAACUUAAUAUGCAGUGCAUGAUUUUGGACUUGAGAUGGAUCCAGUGGUAGCAAGUUACGUUGAUCCUAAGAAUUGCAAUGCAAGAUUAGGGUAAAAGAAGGUUUUUGUAGAAGAAGGAAAAAGAAAAACACUCUCUUGCUUUAUAUCGAAGCACAAAAAUGUAGAUCACACCCUAAGUUUGAUGACAAAAGAGAUACAUAUGUUCGGCUCGAACCUCCUUGGGACCUUCUCUUGAGUAACUUUUAACUUUGGCACUAGCUCCACAGAGCUAAUGCAAUCUCACAAUUGCAAACUUGAUACCUCUUUCCAUGUAGAUUGUGCUGUAAUUGACUCUUAAAUUAGAUCAAUGUGUUCUUAAUCUAGAGUCCAUUUGUUCUCUAAGCUUAUGAUAGAUCUCUUGAAAGAGACUCUUAACAAAUGUAACUGUUUGAACUGACUUGCAUCUUAAACACGCAUUGUUUUUUGGGUGAUGUACCUUGACCAUGGGGACAUGUUCCUUUUCUUACUACAUGAAAUAGCUUUGGUAAAUAAAAGGGCAUCAGCUUGAAAGGUUGAAAUGCUUAAAAAGGAUUUAAUCCCUUCUCUUAUAUAGACACUGAUUUGUCACUUUCAAUUGAUGUUUGUCUUCGGAACUCUAGCAGUAUCUUGUGCGUCCCUCUCAAUAAGGUGUGAUAUUGUUCUGGAGAUGAAGACUGAUGUAGACAGAGAGAGACUUAAAGGAAAAGAUCUCCAGGAUCUGCAUGGUUAAAAGGACGUAGUAUUAGAUAGAGCACAGAGAAACAAGAGAUCCAAUGGGGAGCCUGCCAGUAGUUUAAUUGUGCGCAUAUCAAACCACCCAGAACUCUGUCUCUCAUAGCGCACAACCUUUGCUUGGCUUUUGGUACUUUAUGAUCUUCAGUCUCCACUUUUUGUUUCUGAAAUGAUAAACAUAAUUCCAACAUGAAGGUACUAAGGCUGUGUAUGGUUGUUUGGAUUCGGAUUGGGAUAAGAUAGGAUAACUUGGGAUUAGAAAUUCUCCAAAUACCUUCAGAUUGUAGAAAAUCCCCUAGUAUGUUUGGUACGACCUAGGAUAGGAUUAAAAUCUUUAAGAUUCCUUGUCAUCUUAAAGGAAAUUUCUCCUUCCUCAAGCUUGCGAUUGUUCUCAUCCAUCUUGCACACAACUACCAAACCUCGACAACCCUAAAAGCCAGCUGCCCCAAAAUUCUGACCUCAAUCCCACCUCCCUGAAAUCCACAAUCACUCACACCUCCACACCUGUAGACAAAAUUCAGAACUCAGAAAAAAUCACUAGAGCUCAGGAACAAUGCCUUCAACGCCCCAGACAAAAGUGAUGGAUUGGUUGAAAUUCACAAUGGGUGUGCAAGGAUUGGAUGGUCAGAAUUGAGGUAUUGAUCAGUGAUGAAUCGGGAUUGAAGUGGUGCGAGCAACCUCGCGAUUGUGAGUUUGGAAUCUUUUUUAUUUUAUUUUAUUCUCCUUUAGGUUCCACUUCUCUCUCUGGUUUUUGAUUAAAAUGAAAUGCAGAGGAGGUGCCAUGCCUAUUUUUUGUUUUGUUAAGUUAUUUUUUAAAAAUAUUUUAAUCCAAUUUGGGUAUAUUCCACCCCCUACCCUGGAUUUCUUAUCUUGCAUUUUAUCCAGAUAUAUCCGGGUUAAUCUAGUCAGUAGGGAAUCACCAAGCACCGGAUAGGAUAAUUUGUUAUCUUAUCUGGACUCAAAUCUGAACCACCAAAUGUAGCCUAAGGGCUACUGCCCCUAUACAGAGUUGCUGUAGAAAGGGAGCCACCCAUGUUCAAGAUUAGGCACGACAGACUGUUUCUAACAUUUCCAACAAAAUAUUUCUUGAAGUUCCCUUUUCUUUCCUUCGAAAGAGUAAGAGUAUUAAAUUGUUUCAUUCAAAACAAUAUCAGUUAGACCAGCAGUCAGAAUCUCAAUAUCAUACUUUGUUUUUUUAAGCAAUGGGCAUUGCCUAUUUAGCUAAUUUGUGAGCAGCAUGGCUAGCUGUUCUUCUUGUCCACUGCCCUGACUAGGAGGGAUGUGGGUAUGUAAGAGAUGGCAUAUGUCAGAAUCUUUCUUAUAGUUCGAAAAUCCAAUUAAGGCCAAUAACUAAGGCUUUUCUUUAGUUAUCCUUUGUUAGUUUCUUUCUUGUGAAGGUUUUAUUUUUAAGCUAGGGUUUGGUGAGAAUUAAAAAAAGUCAGAUGCUACCCUCAAUUGGUGACUCCAUGAAGAAAAAGCAUGAUUGUUGGUCAAAUUCUUAUUUUCUCAUGCCUUUGAAAGAAACACUUUUAGCAUUUCACAUUCUCCAGUUUCUUCUAGUGGAUUUCUUGUUGUUCCUCUUACUCUUUUUUUCUCUGCCUUCGAAAUUUAUACUCCUAACUUUAAUGUAUUUUCAGCUUUUUGUCUGUGGAUCUGCAACUGAUAUUCUCAAAAUGAACCCUAGAUUAGAAAAUUUCCACUAGUUUCUAUGCUUAUAGGAUAAGCACAAGGAUGCAAUCAUCUUACAAUUCAGUGAAUUCACACAGUAAAGUAAUGUUCUCACAUUCUCUACAACUAUAGAUUUGGGAGAGCUUGAUCCACCAGCUUCUGCUUCCUUAGUAUUAGGCUGGAGAACUACUUUUGGGGCUUCCAUUGGCAUGCCAGAAACCAAUAGGCUGACGUGACUUGUUCUUAUGAAGCUAAGUUUAGUUAACCUUGUAGCCAUCUUCCAAACAUCCCUAUUUUACAGGCCAAUUCUAUUUAACAGAAAUCGACAGCAACCUCAAAAUGUAGCUGCUUCAUUGUGCACCUAGUUAAAUUCAAAAUUUCUAUGGAGAGAAUAGUCAGAUUAUUAUUAAUCAGUAGAUAAGAAUGUGGUCUUACUGGGGGAGAUCAAUUUGAUGAGUGCACAGGGAAGCAAAUCUGGUGCAUGAUGAAUCAGAUCAGCGGACUGAUAAUGUGAUAAAAAGUACAUCCUUUUGCAUGACAGAAUGUAGAAUCAAAAGCGUGCUCUUGUAGUUGAAGCCAUAUGUUAAUAUGCCAAGUAGGUUCCACAUUGCUACAGAAACAGUCACUAUUUUCAUGGAGAACCAUCACCAAUGCUAACUGAAACCUAUCAUGUUUGUACUAGAUCUUCUGUUAAGAGAAUGGAAAGCUAGACCGUAGACACACGUGGAUAAGUAAUUUGAUUGUCUUACAAUAUAUCAGGAGAUGUUGCAAGAGUGAAUGGCCAGUUGGCAGUGUCUCGUGCUUUUGGAGACAAGAACCUCAAAUCGCACUUGCGGUCUGAUCCCGAUAUAAAAAACACUCCCGUCAACGAGGAAACUGAUUUUCUCAUCCUUGCGAGUGAUGGUUUAUGGAAGGUGAUAUCCAUGCCCUUUCCAUUUGCUCUUCAUUAAUCUUCCGUACCUUUCAUCUUGGUUUUUGUUGUUUACUAUCGGCUGUGUCGGUGCAGGUCAUGUCUAAUCAGGAGGCGGUCGACAUUGCUCGGAAGAUGAAGGACCCUUUGAGGGCAGCCAAGAGCCUCGCCGCUGAAGCGGUAAAAAGAGAUAGUAAGGAUGACAUAUCCUGCAUCGUUGUUCGUCUAAAGGUGUAGCACCGAAGCCUUGUAUAUUAACGGUAUAGGGGCAAAAAAUGCCGCGACAUUCGCUUGUUGGCGUUGUUGCCAUGAUCCACCGGUUCAUAAUCCAGCACAAGUUUGGAGGAAAAGAAAUGAAUUCCGAAUUAGGUGAUAGCUUGUGAAUUUUAAAUUCUGUAAGUCAUACAUAAAGUUACUGCACUCGUGUGUGCGGCUUUGCUGUUGGGUUGUUCCUUCCAAUAUGUAGGGUUCAUUUGCAAUUCGUGCUGUAAUUUGCUCAUAGUUUACGAAGCUGUGCGAAUACAUAAGUGGAUUUAUUUAUUUGAUAAAAUGAGUGUUAUUAUGUGGCAAUCAUCACGGCAAAGAACUACUGAUGCCCCAGAAAAUUGGCUAAUUGGCUGCACAAAACGUCGAUUCUCCUCUUUACCUCCGUCUUGGACUUACCUAGAGUGCAGAAUCUGCACGUAAAACCCAAAAACCCAAGGUGUUUUUUUUUCUUUUUUUCUUUUCCUUGUCGAGGACCAAGUAAUUUGGCUCCUUGAUGCUUGUUUUUAUCAUCUCCAAUGGAUUCAUCCUUUGGAGUACGAAACUUGAAAAGGCAUUGUGUCUGGACUUUUGUGACUUUGUGUUUAGCAAUCCAACAUUCAGAUUUUCAACCAUGGAAGUUGCUUCUUGAGCUGUUUUUGCCCCAGCUAUUCUCAGCAUGAUGGAUUUUCUGCUUUUGGAGGGAAUUUCAAACACAACUCUAAACGGUCAAAUAUUUUAUUUAGGCCUAAUCCGACAUCACCAAUCAAGUCUAAAAAGCCAACUAAAUAACAAAUUUAGACCCCAUCAGGUUGAAAUUACAAAUGUUUUUUUUUUUCUUUUUUGGUUAUAUAAAUAGUAAGGAAUUUUACUUGGUUCAAUGGAGAGAUCUUGCUGGAUUGCAUAUUCAUUCGAAUCAAAUCGGGUCGGAUAAGAUCCUAAUCAUUUGGGAAGACAAGAUUCCGAUGCCUUGCCAAAAAUGGAUGAAGUAAGAAAUUGUCAAACAUAUCAACCAAAAAAAAAAAAAAAAGAAUUUGUCAAACGUUAAUGACAGCUCUAUAAAUUAGGAAACAAAUUGUGGCUUGUCUAUUUUGGUCAUUAACUCCUGGAUGUGAGAAAUACUUGUGCUGUAAAAAUCCUAGAUUUGUGUUUCUUCUUUUGGUCCUAGGGCCUCCAACGCAGAACGAAUUUUCUAAACCCAAACUUCUUGCCUUAGGUCAUAAUCUUUUUCAUUCCCAAUUUCAAAUUUUUAUCCCGGACGAAUUUCUGUCUUGUCAAAACAUCGACUCAUUGUAGCCAUGAAGAAAUCAUUAUAUCUCUUGUGAAUUUGAAGUUAGAAGUGCGAACCAGCACCGAAAGAUACACUUUGUUGUUCCGAUUGAUCGUCCAAUGUCAAGGAAAUCUCCAAGGAUGUCGAAAUGCUUCAGCUUCACCGCGUCUAGAGAUUGGUUCUACCGCUACUGGUUCGCAAAAUCGGGCUUACGCUCCGUGUCUACCAGCCUCGGGGAUGGCACGGUUAUGCAAUGCUGGGUCCCCAAAAUCCGCAAACCUUCCAAGCCGAACCUGGUCCUAGUCCACGGGUUCGGCGCGAACGCGAUGUGGCAAUAUGCGGAGGCCCUCCACCACUUCACCCCACGGUUCAAUGUUUACGUCCCGGACCUGAUCUUCUUUGGCCGGUCCUACACGUCGCGCCCCGACCGGACCGAGUCAUUCCAGGCGCGAUGCCUGAUGAGGCUGAUGGAUUUGCAGGGCGUGAAUAGAAUGUGCAUGGUCGGGAUAAGCUACGGCGGGUUUGUGGCAUACAGCAUGGCCGUGCAGUACCCGCAGGCAUUGGACCGGCUGGUCUUGUGCUGCACCGGGGUUUGCUUGGAGGAGAAGGACUUGAAGGAGGGAUUGUUCCCGGUCAAGAGUUUAGAGGAGGCGAAGCUGGUUUUGAUGCCGCAGACGCCCGAUAAGCUUAGGGAAUUGAUGCGAGUCUCCUUUGUCCGGCCCGCCACCGGGGUUCCCUCUUUUUUCCUAACUGAUUUCAUCAAGGUAAGGUUCCGAUCUCGUUCGAUGUACAUGAACAGGCACUAAUCUCUGAGAAUUUUAUCCUGUCCAUCGUCAGUAGAAAAUUCAGUUUCUUGGAAAGGUUUGAUAAAUUGUUAGUUGUGAAUAGAGAUAGAUUAAGCAGUAAGUAGAUUUGCAUAAACAAGGGUUCAUAUGUUCUGAGAGAGUUGGAAUUUGUACAGGUCAUGUGUUCAGAGUAUGUCGAAGAGAAGGGGGAAUUGAUCCAAGAGAUACUCAAAGAUCGAAACCUAUCGAGUCUACCCAAAAUCAGACAGGUUCAUCUCCUUUCAAAUUUCACUUGGGUACAGCAUAAUUCAAUUCAUGCAAAUGCUAAUUUGCUCUGGAGUCUAGAUUAUGGAUUUUGUUUUCUGUGGAAGAUGAAUACAAGGAAACAUAUACUAGUGCAUCUUGUCUUUGUGACCUAGGCUUCCAAGAGAAGCGUGAAAAUUCCAUCAUCAAAGUGACAAAUAUAAGAAAUCUUUUCAAGUCAAAUUCAACUGUCCUCGAUCCGUCUGUGUAGUGUUGUAACGUUGAUUGUUUUGUCGCACUGUGAUGGGUUGUCACCAUGAUCAUACAUUAAUCACAAAGAAAAUGUUCUCGACAUGUUUUCAGUUACUUGUCAUUGCAAGUCGUCUGAUUGAAAGUGAUAGCAAAAUCGAACCACCUGAUUGAAAAGGUUGAAAGCCCAGCUAGAUAGACGUUCAUGUGACUACGCAUAAGAUCCACUCCAUUUGAUAGCUUCCUGAAGGUUAUAGAAUCAUUGUUUCUUCUUCGACAAAAAUUUAUCUGAAUCAAACUCCUGAACAUUGUUUUCCUAUGCAAUGCUUCCCAAUUUUGAGCAGCCCACAUUGUUGGUAUGGGGAGAGCAAGAUCAGAUAUUCCCCCUGGAGCUGGGUCACAGAUUAAAAAGGUGAAGCUUCAUUUUAUACGAAACUAUCUACUUCUCCGCUUUCCUAUUUUCCUGUUUUUUACUCCCCUCGAUACAUAUGACAUGACCGAGCACAAGAUACUGAGCUGAUGCUAAUGCUGGCAUUGGGUCAGGCACAUUGGGGACAGUGCUGAACUGGUGGUGAUCAAGAAUGCAGGGCAUGCGGUGAACUUGGAGAAGCCUAAGGAAUUCAUCAAGCAUUUGAAGCUCUUCCUUCUGUGAUGUAAUUGAUCAGAUUCAUGUCUCCUAAUCCAUCCACUAAUGUGAGAUGACAAAGCGGAUUUUUCUGGUUCUGGGCACUGGGUUUCUUGAUUACACUCUGAUUGAUCUGUGAUUUUACACACAUGGAGUGAUGCUUCUUGCACGUUGCCAAGAAAGAAGUCUCCCUAAACAGUGAAAAUUGAUUAUGGAAAUAUACAUGUGUGGCAAUUUGUGACCAUGAUGCUUUUGGUCUUUUAAGCAGAGCCUUCCAUGCCUGAUCUAUUCUUUUCUUUUUGGAUAAGUGGAUUAAAAAUACUAAAAUUUUUGCUUGAUCCACCAAUAGAACGAGAAUUUUAAUAAAAAACGUUAAAAAAAAUAAAAAAAAUAGAAGGAAAAAGGAUAAAUAAAAACUUAUUUAUGGCCAUGGCGGUUUGAGCUUCUUCGAACUUCAUCGAGCUCUGCCAUAGCCACUCGAGCUUUUCCGAAAUAAAUGUAAUAAUUCUACUUCCGCCGGAAGUUCAGGCUCACGGCAUCAGAAGUGCCGGGGGAGAUUGAGGCCCUCUUCUCAAUGCUUUGUGCUUAAUUGAUUUGAUUCCAUUUUUUAUUUUAAGUGUUUGUUUUUGGUUCUUUUGUUCAUGUUUAGAAGAAGUUGGAGCGGUUAUGUUCGAGAGCUCGAAGAAAUUGGAGCGGCCAUGGCCGUAGCUCGAAGAAGCUCAAGAGGCUAUGGUCGGGAACUUGACUAAGCUUUAGUGGUCAGGGCCAAGCUUGAAGAAGAAUGCUAAAAAGUCCAAUUCAAAAGAUUACCAAUAGUCUUACAAAAUCUUACAUUAAAUUGGAGUAUGUAGGAUUCGUUGUCACUUCCACACCCCUUCUCAUGCCUAAUUACUACCUUAUGUGUAAUUUGAAUGAUGAAGGUGGAUACACAUACACAAAAGAGAUAGCACAUAUUCUAAUAAAAUGUUAGAAGGUUUAACAAAAGCUUGAGCUUUAAAAUAUUUGGUAAUCAUCCCAUAAAUCCCAUAAAAUCUUACAAAAUGAUCAACAAUAAAAGUAAUUUUAUUCAGGUGAUGUAAGCUUGAUGAAGAAGAUUAUUAGUUUGUUUGUCUUAUCAUUUUUUUUUUCUAUUUUUUGUAUCUUUUUUCUUUAUAUAUAUUUUUGAUGUUUCGCUUGGUGGAUGCAACAUUGGCUUUACAUGUCUCAAGAAAGUAAUAAAAAACCCACGUAAGCAUUUUUCAUGAAUCAAAUAGGGAUGAAAAUGACGAAAUAGCUUAAUUGUACCAAUUUGAUAAGUUUUAAAACUUCUAGUACACUUAUUAUUCUUAUUUAUACCAAAUUUUAAAAAUGAAUUCAUUUGUGUGGUUUUGGCUCACAUAUGAAAGAAUAUACAACAAAAGUUAAUAUUCUCAAAAAUCCUAAACUGGUAUAUUUAUGACAAAUAUACCCAAACUAAUUCUUUGACCACAAAAAAUCUUAAACUAGUACACUUGUGAUAAAUUUACCAUUUGUUAGUUUCAAUUAAAUUUUAUUAUUGAAUUACUGAGUUAUAUGACAUGUGAUAGUUGACUAGUAUACCAAUUUAGGAUUUUACUCUUUAUUUGUUACAGUUGUAUCAUUUUUAUAUUUUUUUAUAACAUUAAUUCAAUUUAAUGGAUGGUAUAUUUAUCACAUAUAUACCAAAGUGGGGUGUUUUUGGCGAUCAAACAAAUUAGUUUGGGGCAAAUUUGUUACAAGUAUAUUAAUUUAUGAUUUUUUGCAGUCAUUUGAGGUAAAUUUGUUACAUGUGUACCAAUUUAAGAUUUUUCAUGAUAAAAAAAACGAGUUUUAGAUAAAUUUGUAUUUCUUAACGAUUUUGUCAAAGAUAUAUGAAGAGACAAUAGGUUUUAGUUGUUGGCAAAAAAAAUAAAGCAGCCGUGUCUUGCCGGAAGCAUGCUAAUUUGCAGGAAAAUUGUUAAUUAUUAAUCACUAAGGGUUGUUCUAAUGGUAAAUGGAGGUGGGGGAUUUGAUUCUCUACCUUUUCGAGGGUUAAGAUAGGGAUGCGUUAACGAAGGAGAGGGUUGCAUUGGUACAUACGGUGAUUUGUAAAAAAAAAAAUUAUGAUAGGACCGGGAAAAGAAAUUAAUGAUUUGUACGAUGACGCGUGGAUGAAGGGUGAACAGAAGGAACAUCCCUAACCUCGUGUGAAGCAAAGCAAACGCGCCGUCAGGAACCAAAUCCUGCUUGGACUAUAAAAUUGGCGGAAAAUCACUUGGUUUUGGAAAACAAUCUGGGGUCCUGGGUCGAGGAGUUGGGGUCACCGAGUUAGGUUACUAGGGUCUUGGUUCCGACCGUCGGGUUCCAAGCUUGGUGCCAAAGUCUUGGGUCAUAGGUUUAAUCGUGAAACUAGGGGUGUCAAAGUAAAUUCUAGAAAGUGGGCAACUCCUUUUUUUGGGAUUUAAGUACCCAAUUUUCUUGACCCAAAAAAAUAUAUUUUUGUAAUAAUAUUAUUCCAAGAAACACCAACUGAUCAACAAUUAAUGAUUCAAUUCUACAUCAACUUUAGGUUGGGUCUCAACUUUGGCUGAAGUCCAUUUUUUUUAAUAUUAUAAGAGGCACAAACUUCGCUUCAUAUGUCAAUUCUAGCCCAAAAUUUUAUGUCUUUUAAAAGAACAUCAACUUUAAGUUUAGUCUCAAUUUUGGUCCGACAUUUUUUUUGUCUAAUAGAAAACUAGCAACUUUUAAUCAAUACUCAAUUGUGACCCCUAUUAGUCGCCAUUGAAUACUUUGUUAAAAAGAAAAGAAAAAGUCUCCAUUGAAUACGUGUGGAAUUAUUGGAUGGAAACGAUGGGGACAGAUUUAGGUUUUGCCUGAAACUUUAUUUCUUUUAUGAGAUAACAAAAAAUUCAAGUUAGAAUUAGUACACAGGUUAAAGUUAAUGUUUUUUUUUAUAAUAUAGAUAAAAGUUCGAGCUGAAAUUAGAACUCUAGUUAAAUUUGAUGUUUUCUUAAGGGAAUUGGUUUGACAACAGGAAAAAGACACUAUAAAUGUCAUAAUUUUUUUCAUAUUUUUUUUGAUCAGUUGAGUACCAUAUAAUUUUUCCGGAAGUCAUUUGAGUAUUAUAACUUUUUAUAAACAUUUAGCACAACGGCUUUGCCAUGUUGGAUUUUUGAUACCCAGGUGAAUGUUUUUAAAAAUUUAUAGCACUCAAGUAAUUAGUUGAAAGUUUUAACACUCAAGUAAAAUAUUUUUUAAAAUUAUGACAUUCAAAUAUUCGAAAAGGAAGUUACAGUAUUCAAAUAAGUGCCGUACAAAAAUUAUGACAUUUAUAAUGUCUUGUCAGACAACUAAUUGAAAAACCUUGGUUGGACAUUUGUAUUUUGUAAUCAAUGGACCCUAGGAGUAGGAUUGCAUGGUGCGUCAAAGCUGGCUUCGACGGUACCAAAACGAAAACCUCUACCUCGUCACGAUGGUAAUACGCAGAUUCUCUGGCCCAUUGGAGCACCAAGAAUGUGGAAAACCAAUUAAGGUUUUUCAAAUACGAGGUGUGCCGUUCGCUUCCUUCGAGGUUAAACAAAGAGAAUUUCGCUCCCCUUUCUAUUAAUUAAUUACUUCUUUUUGGGUACUUUUCCAUUUAUUUUGGCUUUAGCAAUAUAGAGCACUUCAAAAAAAGAAUUGCAAAAUGAGUACCGGGGAAGGCGUGAACUAUCUAUUAUACAUUUAAUAAUGGAUUAAAAAGAAGUUCCUUGUCGUGCCCGUAAAUUAUUAGAAACUAUUUCAUUUCUCAUUUUAUUCGUGAAUUUUCAGUUAAGCUUUGUUAGCAUAAUAGUUUUUAAUCUACUGUUAGAAUAAUUUAUUAUGAGUUGCAAAUUUUUUAAGGAAUGGACUCUAUAAUGAUUUCUAAUUGUUUGUUACUUAUUUUUUAUGACAAAAAAUAAAUUAUUAUUCCCAUAAUAGAUUAAGGAUACUCAUUUAAGCAUUCCCCUUUUUGAUUUGAGAAAUGAUUUGGUGAAAGUCCUUAAUUUACUGUGAGAACAUAAGUCUAUUUUAAUUAUAAAUUAUUGUGAAGCUAAUUCAUUCGAGAAUUUAUAACUCAUAAUAAACUAUUAUUAAUAUGGUAGUCUUAAAAACUAUAAUACUAACAAAACUGUUUCAAUUUUAUAAAACCAGCAGGAGGUAAAAUGGAAUUGGGUCUUCAAAGUCAAUUUCUCUUUGGAAUGCAUAUUGUAUUGAAAUUAUUAAUGCAUGGAACCCACGUAGCUGAGUUGACCCAGGGCUUGGCCAUGAAGACCGGUCAAACCUCGCACAUAUAAAUACAGACUUGCUCCAAUUGCUGUCACUCAACAUUCGAAGAUUCAACUGUUGAAAUUGCUCAGGUAUGUGCCUUUUUUUUUUCUCUUGCACAUUAAAUAUGCAUUCAAGUUUGAUGAAUUUUAACUAAAGGUUUUUUUUAAUAUAUUAAAAUAUCAAUGUGAGUUUUUUUUUUUUUUUGAACAGGUAUCAAUGUGAGUUUAAAUAUUACAUCUAUAGGGAUAGUUAUAAGCGAGAAAGUUGGUCGAGUCUCUGUUGAGUCAAAUUCAACUGGAAAUCUGGUCUGAUCCCAGUUGAAGUGCCAUCAAUUGUGAAGAAUAAAAGUUCAGUGCCGAUAAUAAAAAUCAAAGUUAGUCAACUUGAUUGCAAAAUCUACGAAUACUCGCAGCAAAGCAACACUUUUAAAAGAAUUUUUUUUUAAAUGACCACUUGUAUUGCUUAGCAAAAUUAAUGUAAUGAAAUUAUUUUCAUCAUUAAUAAUUAUCUAUAUGUAUAGAUUGUUAUUAAUAAUAAAAAUGCUUUCUGUUGAUUAAUCGGUUAAUUUUCUUAAUGUUUCAUAAUUGUUAUCCACAGGAUGGGUACCGCGAUUCUUAGAGGGAUGUUCGAGUCAUUUGAGGAUGAAAGCAAGAACGGUACGUAGUAUGGACAUUUUGAAUUCAAUCUGCAUUUAUUCAAAUAUAUAUAAUAUAUGUAUAUUUAAUUGACAAAUUAUGUAAUUUUUCAUGCAACCAAUAUAAACAAAUAUGGCUGGUCAAUUUCUCAUAUGACUGAUCAGUUCCAUAGCUUGAGAAAUGUAGAAAUCGAAUUCGUCAAAGUUGUUUGUAGCAACUAGAAAGUCGUACAUUUACCAUGGUAUCGCCCAAAGCCUGCGGAUAAAUAAAUACAGCUUCGUUUAUUCUGUGCAAAGAAGCAGGAAAUGAGAAGCCGAGAAACGCCGGAGCUACGCAAAAGCUCGACGUGAAGAUCGUGAAUGCUGUUCGUGUUUCUCCGGCGAGGGAAACUUUUAGCGGGCUCUACACUCUCUCGAACCUCGACCAGACCUUCCCGUACGUGAUUGAGAUCGUGUUCGCCUUUGAGGGCGAAGGGAGGGGAAGGUGUCCCGCCGCGAUCGAGACAAUCAGAGAGUCGCUGGCCAAGGCAUUGGUCGAGUUCUAUCCGUUUGCGGGCAGACUUGUCGUGGGGAGCGACGGGAGGAUGGUGGUGAGAUGCACUGGAGAAGGUGUCCCGUUCAUCGAAGCAACGUCGGAGGAUGAUAUCGCAGCGCUGGGCGAUAUCAGUACCAUCAAUCCGGCCAUGCUGCGAAAACUCGUGAAGCACAGCGACGGAGCCCCGACCAUAUUAGAAGUACCUUUGCUGACGGUGCAGGUAAAUGCUAUUGAAAAUGGGGGGUUUCACUAGAUCCGACGGUCUUAUUUAGUUUAAUACACAUAAGUAGAUAUCCACUUACAGUUUAUCAUGAAAUCCAGGUGACGACGUUCAAGUGCGGAGGGAUCGUCGUCGGCAUCGUCAUGAAUCACGUCCUUGUUGACGGGAAAGCCCUCACGGACUUCAUAGCUUGCUGGAACGACCUGGCUCGAGCCAAGCCGCCAUCAGUUCUUCCCUUUCUUGAUCGAUCGGUGUUGCGCCCGAGGCAACCUCCGCACGUCGAUCUCCCCCACCACGAGUAUGCUCCGAGAGAUCGGCUGCCCGGACUCGUGGUUGACCCCCAAACCAAGCCCCUCGUUUACAGAUCGUUCUGCUUCAAGCCACACGCUCUCAUUCAGCUCAAGAAAGCGGCAAGAAUCGUAACUCAGAAUGGCUCUUCCGUAGUCCCAACCACCUUCGAAGUCAUAUCGGCCCUCGCGUGGAUCUCGCGAACCAAAGCUCUCGGAAUCGGUCCUCACGAGACGACGAAGCUUCUCACUGCAGUCGACGGCCGCCCCAAGUUCGACCCCCCGCUGCCGAGUGGCUACUUCGGGAACGGCAUCGCUUGGUCCUGCGCUGAGUGCAGCGCCGGCGAAUUGAUCCGCAAGCCCUUCUCAUUCGCUGUCCAGACCGUGCGUGAGGCGCUCGCAUCCGUCACCGAGAGUUACAUAAGGUCGGCCAUCGACCACGUCGAGCUGAACAGGGUCCUUGUCGAAUGCGAGGGUAACGCUUGCUGCAUCAGCAAGUGGAGCCGGCUCCCUUUCUACAAGAUGGAUUUCGGGUUCGGGAGGCCAGUCCAGGUGGCGCCGGCGAGGGUCCCCGACAACGUCAUCUUGGUCGCUUCUCAGAGCAGGGAGAGCGGCGACUUGGUUGUGUCUCUGGGGCUUACUCGCGACGCCAUGGAUGUUUUCUCGAAGUUGAUUCAGCAUAAGCUCACGCUGAAAAGCAAGUUCUAGUCUCAUCCAUGGAUAUGAGUAUAUGAAGCUUACUUUUCGCGCCCCUGGUUUUAAUUAGGCCUAGCGCAGUGGUGUUGCGUUGCUUGUGCCUGUUGUUUUAUAUGAUAUGCUUCCACCAAUAAAGUGAUGUACUUUCCAAAAAAUGGAAUUUUAUAGAUGCAAAUGUCAAUUUAUGAAAGAACACUCAUAGCAUACACUAAUAAUGUGAAAAAAAGUUAUACGCAUAUAGUUUUGUACACCAUUGAUCGGGCAUUAAGAGUAAAUUAAGGGCAUACGAGGCCAUUUGUUUGAGAAAAUAUUAACUGCACAAAUUGUGGAAGGAAAAGAAAGUGAAACAAAGAAAAUAAAAAAGAAGGGAGAAACGGCAAAGAAGAAGAGAAAUGGAGGUGCGAGUCUGCAAGAGGAGAGAGACAAGGAGAGAAAAAUCUGACAAGUGGGCCAUUCGUGGACAUGUCGCUUAAUAGAUGGGCAUCUACUUUGUGACGCUAGCACAACUUGUGCAGCUAAUAUUUUUCUUAAUUUUGAGUAAGACUAGCAUAGUGAUGUUGCGCUCCUCGGGACUGUUGUAUUAUAUGACAUGCUUCCAUCAAUGAAGUGAUGUACUUUCUAAAAAAAAAGGAAUCUUAUAGAUACAAAUGUCAAUUUAUGAAAGAGUGAACAUAGCAUAUAGUAACAUAAGAAAGUUUUACACAGGUAGUUUUGUACACCAUUAAUAUGAUAUUGUGACUAAACUAAGGGCAAAUAGACAGUUCGUGUAAAUUUUUUCUUUACACAGGUGGUGUAUGCGCUAUUUUUCUUUGAGUGUUUGGUAAAGUACCAUUUUCACUAUCUAUAUAUCUUUAGCAUCAGGAAGAUUAUUGCUGGGUUGUCAUCAUCCAUGUUGGGUAUUCAUUAAUAAACAAGUGUGAGCGUACCAUAGAGAAAAAUUCCCUAUCGGGUAAUUGAAGAGGGAUUGAGCAGUUAAUAAAUUUACUAGACUUAUAAUUUAUUGAUUUAAACUCUUAAAAAAAUGUGAUUUACUAAUAUGAUUUUUUGAUGGGUUCAUAUUCUUGAAAAUCUACUCUCCAAGAUAAGUUUUAUUCUUUCCAAGAGUUUUAGAAUUUUGAGAACCAAAGAGAUAUAGCUACAAUUGUCCAUGUGCUGCUAUUGAACAAAAGGUCCAAUAUUCAUAUUGUAGGAAAUGCUUCCAGUCCCAAAAUAAGUCAUUUCCAUGAUGAAUACCCUGCAAAGCAUGAAUUGCAUUAUAUAUGUUUAAUGAGGGACUAACAUUAAUUCCUCGUUGUGAAUUUUCAAUUUUAUAAAACCAGGAGUAAAAGUGGAACUGGGUCUUCAAAGUCAAUUUCUCCUUUUAAUGCAUCUUGUAUUAAAUAAAUAAAUACAUGGAACCCACAUUGCAUAAAGACCUGUUGACCCUCGCACACAUAAAAAUAGGCGUGCUCCAAUUGUUUUACUAAAUUGUCCAUGCUUCAACUGUUGAAAUUCUGCAGGUGUGCGCCUUUCACUUUUUUGGAUUUGAUGUGCACAUUUUAACCUAACAUAUUGUUAGGGUUAAUUAGGAUAUUUUUUUAUUAUUAUCCUCAUCUCUCAAGAUUGCGCUUAUAUUUCAUUUUGAUUAUGCAUAUCCUUGAUUAUUAAUUUAUUUUAGAUAGUCAUUUAAUAAAGCCUAUAUUAUUCUCUUCAUCUACACACAUUAAAAUACAUAGAAAUUUCACAUUAUUUCUUCCCAUUUUUUAUAUUUUAGGUUAUACCAAAAGUAGUGAUGAUGAUUUUUGUAAUAUUUUAAUAAGUUUUAUGAAAUUUCUUUUUUCUUUUUUCUUCGUAGGAUUUUCAUCCAACGAGAUAACUUGGGCCCUAGCAACAUUUAUUGACUCUUGCUGGCAAUAGGCAAAGGCUUCAUUCUCUCGCUUGGAUUUAGGUGAGGGCCCACAAUGCCCUCACCCUUAGGCUAAGAGUGGAAACAUAUAAUAAAAAAGACAAAUAAGGGGUUUUAAAUAAUUUGAACCAAAAAAAUCUUCCUUUGAUACCGUGUAUGAUGUUAUGAGACUUUUUUUGUAGAGUUAUUUUAGAAUGAAUCACUUAAAUCUUCAACUUAUAAAGCGAUAAAUAUUAGGGGCAUGCAAUCAGGCCUAUUCAACCUUGGAACCAGCUCAUCUUGGUCGGUUCAUACAAGACUAGUUUGGUGCCUUUGUAAAAUAUUUGGAAAUUGACUUUGAUAGGUUUGGUUUCUAUACAUUGUAAUGGUUGGUUCUACCCAAGAACCAAACUUGUCGAGGCUCUGGUCAAAACCAACACAAAAUUUGGGAACUUUUUUGCAUGACUACCUCUCUCUCUCUCUCUCUCUCUCUCUCUCUC
rnacentral:lncRNA from 1 species